CAGCCGUAAACUAUGCGCGUUAGGUGUACUGGUGACCACGAGUCACCGGGUGCCGAAGGGAAACCGUGAAACGUGCCGCCUGGGAAGUACGGUCGCAAGGCUGAAACUUAAAGGAAUUGGCGGGGGGAGCACCACAACGGGUGGAGCCUGCGGUUUAAUUGGACUCAACGCCGGGAAGCUCACCGGAUAAGACAGCGGAAUGAUUGCCGGGCUGAAGACUCUGCAUGACUAGCUGAGAGGAGGUGCAUGGCGUAGUCGUG
rnacentral:rRNA from 1 species